rnacentral:tRNA from 1 species
GCCUGGGUGGCUCAGCCGGUGGAGCGUCCGACUUCAACUCAGGUCAUGAUCUCACAGCUCGUGAGUUCGAGCCCCACGUCAGGCU